CCUACGGGAGGCAGCAGUGAGGAAUAUUGGUCAAUGGACGAGAGUCUGAACCAGCCAAGUAGCGUGAAGGAUGACUGCCCUAUGGGUUGUAAACCUCUUUUGUCGGGGAGCAAAGCGAACCACGUGUGGUUCAUUGAGAGUACCCGAAGAAAAAGCAUCGGCAAACUCCGUGCCAGCAGCCGCGGUAAUACUGAGGAUGCGAGGGUUAUCCGGAUUUAUAGGGUUUAAAGGGUGCGCAGGCGGAGGUGCAAGUCAGCGGUAAAAUUGCGGGGCUCAACCCCGUACUGCAGUUGAAACUGCAUCCCUUGAGUGCGCGAGAAGUAUGCGGAAUGCGUGGUGUAGCGGUGAAAUGCAUAGAUAUCACGCAGAACUCCGAUUGCGAAGGCAGCAUACCGGCGCGCAACUGACGCUCAUGCACGAAAGCGUGGGUAUCGAACAGGAUUAGAUACCCGUGUAGUC
rnacentral:rRNA from 1 species